rnacentral:pre_miRNA from 1 species
UUAACUCGAAUUUGUAUGGAGUUGGAGCGUUUGCCUACAUUUGCCGCUAUUGGCGCUGUUCCAACUCCAUAAAAAAUUGAGUUA